rnacentral:rRNA from 1 species
UUGAAAGGGAAACGAUUGAAGUCAGUCGUACCUGCGGGUAAUCAGCCUUUUGGGCAUGAUUCUGUGGAGCGUGAGGAGUUAAACGCCUUCAUGCCUGCAUAUUCGUGUACUUUGGGUGUACUUGCCUGUGUGGUUAGUUAACAUCAAUUUUGGUUAUCAUAAAAUGGCUGGAGGAAUGUAGCUUCGAUUUCGAUUGAAGUGUUAUAGCCUUCGGCAGAUGUGAUGAUCGGGAUUGAGGAUUGCAACGGAUACCCUUCGGGGCUACCUGUCUGGUCUCUGAUCGUUGCUCUGGUGCCGAAAGCGUGCUUACGGUUAUCAAAGUCGAUGGUCAAUAGGUUAGAACGGGUUAAAUUCGUUAAGGAUGUUGACGUA